AGUGAACGCUGGCGGUAGGCCUAACGCAUGCAAGUCGAACGGCAGCACAGUAAGAGCUUGCUCUUACGGGUGGCGAGUGGCGGACGGGUGAGGAAUACAUCGGAAUCUACUUUUUCGUGGGGGAUAACGUAGGGAAACUUACGCUAAUACCGCAUACGACCUACGGGUGAAAGCAGGGGAUCUUCGGACCUUGCGCGAUUGAAUGAGCCGAUGUCGGAUUAGCUAGUUGGCGGGGUAAAGGCCCACCAAGGCGACGAUCCGUAGCUGGUCUGAGAGGAUGAUCAGCCACACUGGAACUGAGACACGGUCCAGACUCCUACGGGAGGCAGCAGUGGGGAGUAUUGGACAAUGGGCGCAAGCCUGAUCCAGCCAUACCGCGUGGGUGAAGAAGGCCUUCGGGUUGUAAAGCCCUUUUGUUGGGAAAGAAAAGCAGCAGGUUAAUACCCCGCUGUUCUGACGGUACCCAAAGAAUAAGCACCGGCUAACUUCGUG
rnacentral:rRNA from 1 species